CCACCUUUCCCUCGAAAAAAAAGCCCAAAAUCGUGCCUGUGGUUCGGUUGGAAUCGGGGUGGCGUUCCGGCAGCGACUGGCGAGCGGCUGCAGCUGGAAUUGCGGCGAGCCUAGGCGGCGGCCGCGGUUGGGGAACGCGGCUGAGAGGGGCGGCGCGCGAGAGCAGACGCUCGCCGCCGCCGCCGCCGCCGCUUGGGGAAGACGCAGUCGGCGGCGGCUACCACCACCCCAAGGUCCACCGCUGACGGAAACCAGCGUCCUAUCGACGAUGUCUUCCCAGAACUGCAGCGACGACAUGGAGCUUAGAAGAGCUAGAUUAGGGAGGGGUUGUCAUGGCUAGCUGCGGCUCUUGUUGGAGGGUUUCUCGCGCCGUCGCUGCUUGCUGCUACAGCUGCCGGCGCCGCUGGUUGCUGCUAGGUGCCGCUGCCGGCUGCCGCCGUACUCUAAUCUUGCCUCCCGUCGCAGCCACCAGAACCUGUGUGUCCUCGUUGCUCGUCCACCAAGGAGGGGAAAAAGGAGAUGGCAGGGAGAUAGCCAGCACCCCUGUUGCAGGUUUGCUCUGUCCGCACAAGCAGGAGCCUGGGAAGAGGGAUAGAAAGACAGAAUUAAAGAACAGGAUUUUGGAAACCCAGGCAGAAUCACCUUCACCUUCUCGGCUUAGUCAACCAAUUGCAGGAUUCGGUUUCAGCGGGAGCAGGGCGCACUGGAGUUUCUUUUGAUGUCGUUAUGAAAUCAGGAGGCUGGGGUGAUAUUACCAAGGUGGAAAUGGAUCCAUUGUUGUUGCCGCUGCUACUGGAAAAAAAGAUCUUGCUGUUGAUGCCUUGCAGACUGAAGCUAUCGCAGCUGAACUUGUUAUCUAUUUGGCAAAUGAUCUUGCUGUCUCUCAAAAAAAGUUGGCAAAUGAGCUUGGUUUUUACACGCCUAUGAGAUUUUCUCUUGCUUUAGCUUGUCGGCAACCCAUUCAUCCAUCAGAAGUUCCUUGUGCUCUGCUGUGACUUGAGGUAUCGUCUUCCUUCCCUGGUGAUACUCUCUUCUCGAUCCCCUUGUGCCUAAUUGCUCAGAUGGAAAUGCUCCAGGUUGUGAUUCAAUCAAUGAAGAAAGAAAAUGUAUGCCAUGAAAAGAUAAAGGCUUGUUAUAUGGCUUACUUCCUAUAUUUGUUGAUCUGAUAAUUGCCCAAGAGGAUCUAGAUUAUAUCUUGCUGUAUCCAGAUGAAGUGUUGGAUUACUAUACAAUUUCAAAUACCAUGUCAUAAAAAUAAGUGAACUGACAAUAGUGCAUUUGGAGUAAAAUUCACUAAUAACCAUCUAAAGAAGGCUCCACUGCACCAAUUCAAUUGAACUAGAGUAAGAAGCAUAAUUUUUAAGUACGUUCAGGACUAUACAUCCUCUGGAAGAGAAAGUAAACAGGGAGAGAAAACAGUGCACAUCCUCUUUUCUUAUUUGUAUUCGUCCUACUUUUCUUUAGCCGAGGCUGAAAGUAAGCAUCUUGUGGUCAUGUAUUAAUGUUCUAAUUCUCCCACUUUCCUCUCAGCUUUUUCCUUCAAUCUUAUGAUAGCUUUUCACCUAAAAGUCACAGUAUUCCUCUAUUAUUUACACACAAACCAGUUAAUCAAAAGCUGAAAUGAUGUGAGUUAAUUAGGUAAAUAGCUGAACUGAUGUGAGUUCGUUAGGUUUUCCUGUUACUUGGCUUGCCCAAUGGAUAUUAGUUGGCUUGCUCAACAGAAACAGAAUUGUGAUAAUUUGGGAUUGGGGAAGGGGGACAUAUUUUAAGAUUAUAAUAUUUGUCUCAGCACAAAUAUAAGCAACAAGCUCUUAUCUCUUCCACUAUUUCAUUCCUAUAGAAUGUUUGUUUUCAUAAACUUUUAUAACUUACAAGUAGUGUUUAGCUGGCACAAUAUAAAAAUGUUAAUAGUACAUACACAAGAUUGCUUCUCUCUUGCAAUGUAGCCCUUCAUAUUAUGACUCUGCAUUCCAGGAAGUCUAUGUGCUCAAAGAAUAACCCUCCGUCAUAUUAGAACCCAUGUUUAAAUGGUCAAUUCUUGUUCCAAACAAAUUAUGGAUCUAUCCAAACUAAUUAUGGAUCUAGAUGAGGAGAGAUUGCAAAACCAGACAUAUUGUUUUAUGAUUCAUGGUUCUCACAAUUUUGUUUCCGGUUUUCUUCAAAGUAAUAUUUUGCAGGUUGUUGCCUCUUGAAAUGAGCAAAUUGACCUGGGCACUUCUCAUGACUCAGCUUUCAGGCAAAUCAUUUUCUAUGACUGCCAGUGUAGAUCAUGCCAUGAUUAACGUGGCUUUUUCUUGAGAAUAUUACCACUCCUUCACUUAGGCAUCAGCAGAGAAUGUUGAAAAUGGAGUAUAAACACUGCAAUCUCAUCAAAAAAGACCUCUCGGAAGAUCAUUUGCCGAACAAAUUGUUCUAUAUGCAAAGAAAUUUCAACAUCUAUAUGAAGUUCAGGAGACGGAUCCUAGAUAACUCUUGCAAUUUGUCACGGCUCUCUUUUUUUUGAGGGAAAAUUUGUCACGGCUCUUUUUUUUUGGGAAAAUUUGUCACGGCUCUCUCAGUGUAGUUAGCAUUGGAAAGUGAAGUGAUCACAUUACCUGUUCCUGAAAUUAGUUAACUGUGCUGAGUUACUUCUCAGCUCUCGCCCAAAGGAAAAAGUAUACUUUGUGUCCA